rnacentral:rRNA from 1 species
UACGUAGGGGGCAAGCGUUGUCCGGAAUCAUUGGGCGUAAAGCGCGUGUAGGCGGCUGGGUAAGUCCGCUCUGAAAGCCCGGGGCUCAACCCCGGGAGGCGGGUGGAUACUGCUCAGCUCGAGUCCGGAAGAGGAGUGUGGAAUUCCUGGUGUAGCGGUGAAAUGCGCAGAUAUCAGGAGGAACACCAAUGGCGAAGGCAGCACUCUGGGACGGUACUGACGCUGAGGAGCGAAAGCGUGGGGAGCGAACAGG